GCACUCGUGGUCGAGUAGCGAGGCACGCGGCUGCAACCCGCGUUCACGUCGGUGCAAGUCCGACCGAGUGCUCCA
rnacentral:tRNA from 1 species